rnacentral:rRNA from 1 species
CAGCAGUGGGGAAUCUUCCGCAAUGGGCGAAAGCCUGACGGAGCAAUGCCGCGUGAGUGAAGAAGGGAUUCGUUCCGUAAAGCUCUUUUGUUUAUGACGAAUGUGCAUGUUGUGAACAAUGACGUGUAAUGACGGUAGUAAACGAAUAAGCCACGGCUAACUACGUGCCAGCAGCCGCGGUAAUACGUAGGUGGCGAGCGUUGUCCGGAAUUAUUGGGCGUAAAGAGCAUGUAGGCGGUUUUUUAAGUCCGGAGUGAAAAUGCGGGGCUCAACCCCGUAUGGCUCUGGAUACUGGAAGACUUGAGUGCAGGAGAGGAAAGGGGAAUUCCCAGUGUAGCGGUGAAAUGCGUAGAUAUUGGGAGGAACACCAGUGGCGAAGGCGCCUUUCUGGACUGUGUCUGACGCUGAGAUGCGAAAGCCAGGGUAGCGAACGGGAUUAGA